rnacentral:lncRNA from 1 species
UCCAAUUCUGUGGGAAUAAUAUCAGUUUGGUGUUUAAGACCAGUCCUUCCACCUUAUUUCACACUGUAACGAUCUAUAAAGUAUUUGGAAACUGAUUAUUGAGUUGUAAUGUCUUCUGAAGGGUAUCUUCACAAAUUCCACCCCAGAAGUAAAGAAUGUAUAAAUGCAGUGACCACUAUAUCUGCUUCAAAACAGCUCCCCAUGGACAGAUCCAGGGAGCUGCUCAUGACAAAGAGCAAUUUGAUGUCCCUACACAUUAUGCUGGCAUGUAAACCCACCAAGGAUGACCAGAAGAAACGGGACCCGACUGUCUUCAUAAAUUUCCUCAAGAGCCUGAGCUAGGGAAAAAAGCCAAACCAACUAAAGAAAGUAACAAAACUGCAGCAGCAAAGGUUUUCUUUGGAU